GACGAACGCUGGCGGCGUGCUUAACACAUGCAAGUCGAACGGAGAGGCCCUGCUUUUGUGGGGUGCUCGAGUGGCGAACGGGUGGGUAACACGUGAGUAACCUGCCCUUGACUUUGGGAUAACUUCAGGAAACUGGGGCUAAUACCGGAUAGGAGCUCCUGCUGCAUGGUGGGGGUUGGAAAGUUUCGGCGGUUGGGGAUGGACUCGCGGCUUAUCAGCUUGUUGGUGGGGUAGUGGCUUACCAAGGCUUUGACGGGUAGCCGGCCUGAGAGGGUGACCGGCCACAUUGGGACUGAGGUACGGCCCAGACUCCUACGGGAGGCAGCAGUGGGGAAUAUUGCACAAUGGGCGGAAGCCUGAUGCAGCAACGCCGCGUGCGGGAUGACGGCCUUCGGGUUGUAAACCGCUUUCGCCUGUGACGAAGCGUGAGUGACGGUAAUGGGUAAAGAAGCACCGGCUAACUACGUG
rnacentral:rRNA from 1 species